rnacentral:rRNA from 1 species
UACAGAGGUCUCAAGCGUUGUUCGGAUUCAUUGGGCGUAAAGGGUGCGUAGGUGGCGCCAUAAGUCGGGUGUGAAAUCUCGGGGCUUAACUCCGAAACUGUAUUCGAUACUGUGGUGCUUGAGGACUGGAGAGGAGACUGGAAUUCAUGGUGUAGCAGUGAAAUGCGUAGAGAUCAUGAGGAACACCGGUGGCGAAGGCGGGUCUCUGGGCCGAUACUGACGCUGAGGAGCGAAAGCCAGGGGAGCAAACGGG